CGGGCGGCCGUGACCCUGCUGGAGCGCGGGGGGGACCUCCAGCCCCCCGGGGGGUCCCUGCGCCUCCUCUGCCGAGGGUCCGGGUUCGAUUUUGGGAAUUUCAACAUGGGCUGGAUGCGUCAAAGACCUGGGAAGGGACUGGAAUUCGUGGCAGGGAUCAGCAACAACGGUGGAAACAUUGGCUACGCACCAUCGGUCAAGGGCCGGUUCAGCAUCUCCAUAGACAACGGGCAGAGCUCGGUGACGCUGACCAUGAACAGCCUCAAGGACGAGGAUUCCGGAUCCUAUUUCUGUGCCAAGGGUGCUUACAGUUGUUGUGCUGCUUCUGAUGCUGAUGUUGGUGGUGGUGUCCUUACCCCUGUUCCUGUCCCCGUGCCCCAGAUCAUUCCCUCCAACCCCAGACCCCACUCCUGA